GGGGGUUCCGGAUGUCCGUUUUGGACGUUCUUUAGGUCGUUCUGGAGGUUUUUGACCCUUCCGGACCUAAUGGUGAGGGUUUCAAAGUCAUUUUCUUUGCCUAAGUAUGAUUUCACUAGGUUUUGUGUUGUUUAGUGGUUCUUCUAGAACUAUUAUUGUCAGUUGAUGUAUAUUGAAUGGUUUCAUGCAAUUUUGAUGACUUGUUGGGUUGUUUGUGAUCUUUUAAAGUAU
rnacentral:lncRNA from 1 species